rnacentral:rRNA from 1 species
GACGAACGCUGGCGGCGUGCUUAACACAUGCAAGUCGAACGGAAAGGCCCUGCUUUUGUGGGGUGCUCGAGUGGCGAACGGGUGAGUAACACGUGAGUAACCUGCCCUUGACUUUGGGAUAACUUCAGGAAACUGGGGCUAAUACCGGAUAGGAGCUCCUGCUGCAUGGUGUGGGUUGGUAAGUUUCGGGGGUUGGGGAUGGACUCGCGGCUUAUCAGCUUGUUGGUGGGGUAGUGGCUUACCAAGGCUUUGACGGGUAGCCGGCCUGAGAGGGUUACCGGCCACAUUGGGACUGAGAUACGGCACAGACUGCUACGGGAGGCAGCAGUGGGGAAUAUUGCACAAUGGGCGGAAGCCUGAUGCAGCAACGCCGCGUGCGGGAUGACGGCCUUCGGGUUGUAAACCGCUUUCGCCUGUGACGAAGCGUGAGUGACGGUAAUGGGUAAAGAAGCACCGGCUAACUACGUG